GACGUAGGAGGCGAGCGUUGUCCGGAUUUAUUGGGCGUAAAGAGCGCGCAGGCGGUCGUUCAAGUCGCGUGUGAAAGCCCCCGGCUCAACUGGGGAGGGUCACGCGAUACUGAUCGACUCGAAGGCAGGAGAGGGUAGUGGAAUUCCCGGUGUAGUGGUGAAAUGCGUAGAUAUCGGGAGGAACACCCGUGGCGAAGGCGGCUCUCUGGGACGGUACUGACGCUGAGACGCGAAAGCGUGGGGAGCGAACAGG
rnacentral:rRNA from 1 species